AUUGAACGCUGGCGGCAGGCCUAACACAUGCAAGUCGAGCGAGCGGCGGACGGGUGAGUAAUGUCUGGGAAACUGCCUGAUGGAGGGGGCUAACUACUGGAACCGGUAGCUACUACCGCAUACCAUCAGAUGUGCCCAGUUGGGAUUAGCUAGUAGGGGGGGUAAUGGCUGACCUAGGCGACGAUCCCUAGCUGGUCUGAGAGGAUGACCGGCCACACUGGAACUGAGACACGGUCCAGACUCCUACGGGAGGCAGCAGUGGGGAAUAUUGCGCAAUGGGCGCAAGCCUGAUGCAGCCAUGCCGCGUGUGUGAAGAAGGCCUUCGGGUUGUAAAGCACUUUCGGCGAGGAGGCGUUACUCGCAGAAGAAGCACCGGCUAACUCCGUGCCAGCCGCCGCGGUAAUAC
rnacentral:rRNA from 1 species